rnacentral:rRNA from 1 species
GGAAACGGUAGCUAAUACCGCAUAACGUCGCAAGACCAAAGAGGGGGACCUUCGGGCCUCUUGCCAUCGGAUGUGCCCAGAUGGGAUUAGCUAGUAGGUGGGGUAACGGCUCACCUAGGCGACGAUCCCUAGCUGGUCUGAGAGGAUGACCAGCCACACUGGAACUGAGACACGGUCCAGACUCCUACGGGAGGCAGCAGUGGGGAAUAUUGCACAAUGGGCGCAAGCCUGAUGCAGCCAUGCCGCGUGUAUGAAGAAGGCCUUCGGGUUGUAAAGUACUUUCAGCGGGGAGGAAGGGAGUAAAGUUAAUACCUUUGCUCAUUGACGUUACCCGCAGAAGAAGCACCGGCUAACUCCGUG